UACGAAGGGGGCUAGCGUUGCUCGGAAUUACUGGGCGUAAAGGGCGCGUAGGCGGAUAGUUUAGUCAGAGGUGAAAGCCCAGGGCUCAACCUUGGAAUUGCCUUUGAUACUGGCUGUCUUGAGUACGGGAGAGGUGAGUGGAACUCCGAGUGUAGAGGUGAAAUUCGUAGAUAUUCGCAAGAACACCAGUGGCGAAGGCGGCUCACUGGCCCGAUACUGACGCUGAGGCACGAAAGCGUGGGGAGCAAACAGG
rnacentral:rRNA from 1 species